UAGUAGAAAACCCUCCAAGGUCGACUAGAAGAUCGCCUACGAUUCCAAGCUCUGCUCCCUCAACGAGUAUGGCCAGGUCCUCAUUGUCGCCGUCGACAACGUCAGCUCCAAGUAGCUCCAAAACAUCCGCGAGAGGUUGCGCGGAGACUCCGUCGUUCUAAAGGGGAAAAACACGAUGAUGAAAAGGUCUGUUAGGAUCCAUGCGGAGAAGACGGGCAACAGUGCCUACCUCAACCUUGUCCCCCUCUGUGAGCAACGUCGGUCUGAUUUUCACAAAGGGUGAUUUGAAGGAAUUCAGUGAAGAGGUUGGCAAGUACAAGUGAAGAAAGAACCUCAUCUGAGGGUGCUUUUGAUAAGGCCUACGGUUUGCAUCCUCAAGGACCAUUCGCAAAAGCAUAUGGAAUGUUCGGGGAGUGCAUCCGGAGAAGGAGUAUCAUCGGCUAUGCCAACAUUUGGCAGUAGUUGGGUUGAACAUCGUAAUGAUUUGGUGACAGCUUUGAAUUUGUUUCUCUCUCCUUCUGGUUUUGCUACUUUCAGAGCUCCUGCUGCUUGCUUACAUGUACCUAUAUCCAUUUUUCUGAUUAAUGUACUGUGUUUAAUUGAUCAGAGACAUCCAAACCAUCUUUUUUAUUUAUUUAUUUAUUUUAUUUGUACAAACGAGCCAUUACAAAUGAUUAUAAAUUUGGAAAUGUUGUAAAAUCGACAGUGUGCAGUAGAAUGAAUAAAACAAGACACAAAAUUUACGAGGUUCCUCUACAGUCAGUGUGACUGGAGUAUGUCCUUGGAGCAACAGUGGUGCUUUGAUAUAUAAUCUGGAAUCAUAAGAUUACAAAGAUAACUCUAUUUUCUCCUCUCCUCUCUUCUUCCUCUCUCUGUUGUGAGCCUUGUCGCUUCUCUCCCAUUUCUCUGCACUGCCGUGC